AACGAACGCUGGCGGCAUGCCUAACACAUGCAAGUCGAACGAGUCAUUCGGGCUUGCUGGCGCAUGCGUCCGUAACGCGUUGGAACCUGCCCUUAGGUUUGGCUUAACUCCCCGAAUGAGGUGCUAAUACCGGCUCAUGUAUUCCAUCCAUAGUUUUAUCGCCUUUGGGUGAGCCUGCGAUGUAUUAGUUUGUUGGUAGGCUAAAUCCGUAUAACUGGUUCGAUCCAUAGCUGGUUUGAGAGGAUGAGCAGCGACACUGGUACUGAGACACGGCCGAGAAUACUACGGGAGGCAGCAGUGGGGAAUAUAGGAAAAUGGGGGAAAGCAUGAACGAGCAAGGAUGGGUGAGUGAUGAAGGCCGUAGGGUUGGAAAGCUCGUUUACCCGGGAUGAUAAUGACAGUACCGGGAGAAUAAGCUCCGGCUAACUCCGUG
rnacentral:rRNA from 1 species